rnacentral:tRNA from 1 species
GAGAGGUGGCCGAGCGGAUUAAGGCGCACGCCUGGAGAGCGUGUGUCCCGAGUGGAUCGGGACCGCGGGUUCGAAUCCCGCCCUCUC